UACGGAGGAUGCGAGCGUUAUCCGGAUUUAUUGGGUUUAAAGGGUGCGUAGGCGGCUUUUUAAGUCAGCGGUGAAAUUUUGCAGCUUAACUGUAACAGUGCCGUUGAUACUGGGGAGCUAGGAUUUGGUUGCUGUGGGUGGAAUGUGUGGUGUAGCGGUGAAAUGCUUAGAUAUCACACAGAACACCGAUUGCGAAGGCAGCACACUAAGUCAUUAUUGACGCUGAGGCACGAAAGUGUGGGGAUCAAACAGGAUUAGAUA
rnacentral:rRNA from 1 species